rnacentral:rRNA from 1 species
GCGAUCAUACCAGCACUAAUGCACCGGAUCCCAUCAGAACUCCGAAGUCAAGCGUGCUUGGGCGAGAGCAGUACUAGGAUGGGUGACCCCCUGGGAAGUCCUCGUGUUGCACCU